AUUGAACGCUGGCGGCGUGCUUUACACAUGCAAGUCGGACGGCAGCAUAACUUUCGGGUUGAUGCGAGUGGCGAACGGGUGAGUAAAACAUCGGAACAUACCAUGAAGUUGGGGAUAACUCAUCGAAAGAUGAGCUAAUACCGAAUAAUCUCUGAGGAGGAAAGCUGGGGACUAGAAAUGGCCUGGCGCUUUUUUGAGUGGCCGAUGGUCGAUUAGCUAGUUGGGGGGUUAAAGGCUUACCAAGGCGAUGAUCGAUAGCUGUUCUGAGAGGAGAUCAGCCACACUGGGACUGAGACACGG
rnacentral:rRNA from 1 species